rnacentral:rRNA from 1 species
UACGGAGGGUGCAAGCGUUAAUCGGAAUUACUGGGCGUAAAGCGCACGCAGGCGGUUUGUUAAGUCAGUUGUGAAAUCCCCGAGCUUAACUUGGGAACUGCAUUUGAAACUGGCAAGCUAGAGUCUUGUAGAGGGGGGUAGAAUUCCAGGUGUAGCGGUGAAAUGCGUAGAGAUCUGGAGGAAUACCGGUGGCGAAGGCGGCCCCCUGGACAAAGACUGACGCUCAGGUGCGAAAGCGUGGGGAGCAAACAGG